rnacentral:rRNA from 1 species
UACGAUGAGGGGCAAGCGUUACUCGGAAUUACUAGGCGUAAAGGGCAGGUAGGUGGUUUGAUAAGUCCGUUGUGAAAGCUCCUGGCUUAACUGGGAGAGGUCAACGGAAACUAUCAGGCUUGAGUGUGGGAGAGGGUACUGGAAUUCCCGGUGUAGCGGUGAAAUGCGCAGAGAUCGGGAGGAACACCGAUGGCGAAAGCAGGUACCUGGACCACUACUGACACUCAGCUGCGAAAGCUAGGGGAGCAAACAGG